UACAGAGGGUGCAAGCGUUAAUCGGAAUUACUGGGCGUAAAGCGCGCGUAGGUGGUUUGUUAAGUUGGAUGUGAAAUCCCCGGGCUCAACCUGGGAACUGCAUCCAAAACUGGCAAGCUAGAGUAUGGUAGAGGGUGGUGGAAUUUCCUGUGUAGCGGUGAAAUGCGUAGAUAUAGGAAGGAACACCAGUGGCGAAGGCGACCACCUGGACUGAUACUGACACUGAGGUGCGAAAGCGUGGGGAGCAAACAGGAUUAGAAACCCCCGUAGUCC
rnacentral:rRNA from 1 species